CCCUUAGAUGUUCUGGGCCGCACGCGCGCUACACUGACGAAUGCAACGAGCUUAUAACCUUGGCCGAAAGGUCUGGGUAAUCUCCAAAUUUCGUCGUGAUGGGGAUAGAUUAUUGCAAUUAUUAAUCUUCAACGAGGAAUGCCUAGUAAGCGCAAGUCAUCAGCUUGCGUUGAUUACGUCCCUGCCCUUUGUACACACCGCCCGUCGCUCCUACCGAUUGAAUGGUCCGGUGAAGCGUUCGGACCGUGGCCUUUGGACGGUUCGCCGUCUGUUGGCUGCGGGAAGUUCGUUAAACCUUAUCAUUUAGAGGAAAGAGAAGUCGUAACA
rnacentral:rRNA from 1 species